rnacentral:rRNA from 1 species
GCCAUGGGCAGGUUGAAGGUUGGGUAACACUAACUGGAGGACCGAACCGACUAAUGUUGAAAAAUUAGCGGAUGACCUGUGGCUGGGGGUGAAAGGCCAAUCAAACCGGGAGAUAGCUGGUUCUCCCCGAAAGCUAUUUAGGUAGCGCCUCGUGAAUUCAUCUCCGGGGGUAGAGCACUGUUUCGGCUAGGGGGCCAUCCCGGCUUACCAACCCGAUGCAAACUGCGAAUACCGGAGAAUGUUAUCACGGGAGACACACGGCGGGUGCUAACGUCCGUCGUGAAGAGGGAAACAACCCAGACCGCCAGCUAAGGUCCCAAAGUCAUGGUUAAGUGGGAAACGAUGUGGGAAGGCCCAGACAGCCAGGAUGUUGGCUUAGAAGCAGCCAUCAUUUAAAGAAAGCGUAAUAGCUCACUGGUCGAGUCGGCCUGCGCGGAAGAUGUAACGGGGCUAAACCAUGCACCGAAGCUGCGGCAGCGACGCUGAUGCGUUGUUGGGUAGGGGAGCGUUCUGUAAGCCUGUGAAGGUGGCCUGUGAGGGUUGCUGGAGGUAUCAGAAGUGCGAAUGCUGACAUAAGUAACGAUAAAGCGGGUGAAAAGCCCGCUCGCCGGAAGACCAAGGGUUCCUGUCCAACGUUAAUCGGGGCAGGGUGAGUCGACCCCUAAGGCGAGGCCGAAAGGCGUAGUCGAUGGGAAACGGGUUAAUAUUCCCGUACUUGGUGUUACUGCGAAGGGGGGACGGAGAAGGCUAUGUUGGCCGGGCGACGGUUGUCCCGGUUUAAGCGUGUAGGUGUGUGUUCCAGGUAAAUCCGGUUCACUUUAACACUGAGGCGUGAUGACGAGGCACUACGGUGCUGAAGCAACAAAUGCCCUGCUUCCAGGAAAAGCCUCUAAGCAUCAGGUAACAUCAAAUCGUACCCCAAACCGACACAGGUGGUCAGGUAGAGAAUACCAAGGCGCUUGAGAGAACUCGGGUGAAGGAACUAGGCAAAAUGGUGCCGUAACU